UGUCAUCAUACGCUAGAUGGCAGUACACUGUGGUUGAAAUUCAUACCUCUCCCUCCUAGAAUAUAAACAAGGUGGAGAGGGAGUAAGAUCACUAGAAAGCAGCAUGCUGCCACAACCACUGAAUACUGGGGCCUGCCUUGGAGUACUGUUGUAUUCAUCUCCACCACGUGCCUAGAAGUCAUAUGACGAACCUGCAUAGACUAACAAAGGACCUGAGCCCUAGGACCAUACCUCAGGACUACCUGGCAUGAUGACUCCUUGCUGUCCCCAGUCCACCUGGCUGUGCUGCUGCUCCAGUUUCAACUGUUCUGGCUGUGAUUAUUAUUAUUUGACCAUGCUGGUAAUUUAUAAACAUUUGAACAUCUUGGCCAUGUUCUGUUAUAAUCUCCACUCGGCACAGCCAGAAGAGGACUGGCCACCCCUCAUAGCCUGGUUCCUCUCUAGGUUUCUUCCUAGGUUUUGGCUUUUCUAGUGCGCUUUUCCUAGCCACCAUGCUUCUACACCUGCAUUGUUUGCUGUUUGGGGUUUUAGGCUGGGUUUCUGUACAGCACUUUGAGAUAUCAGCUGAUGUACGAAGGGCUAUACAUUUGAUUCGAAUUAGAGGCUACUGCUAGCACAUUAUUUAGGUGUUUUGACAGAGACAGAUGCUAUCUAACCCCAAUCUCCCAUUUAUCUAACAUUUUGGCCUGUCUAACCUUCAGUAUGGGCUGAGAAUGUCAUGGUACUGUAUGGAGAAGGGAGUCUUUACUGCUGCACAUGAGUGUGUGGUUGAUUUAAAGUAAAGAUGCGUUUGUUACGAUAGAUCUUUUCCCUGGCUGCCUGGGCUUACCAUGUGGCAGAGAGUGAAAGAGGAUCUCCUAGGCUCAGCCACACGGAUUUAAGGGGCAAAGAGGGAGACAAACAGGGGUGCGGGGCAGUGAGGGUUGACUUGUCAGGGCGCUUUUGGACUCUCUGAUCUCCCUCGCACUCCAGGAGAGACCGUAAAGCCAGUCUGCGCCCCUCCCAUUCCCCCCUACUUUAUGUGACCCUGCUCAGCCUCACCCUAUCACGAUGGAAUGAGGUAUACAUUUCACAGGCGAAAUGACUUGGGGUUAGGUCUAGCACCCAAACGGUUUUCAAAAUGAGCUCGAGGACACUGCCUGCUUAGUUGACCAUAGACAAGGAAGUUGCAGGAAAUGAAUUAUUCAUGUAUUUGGAAAUCAUGUAUUUGGAAAUCCUCAUGAAAUCAGUUUUAGUUUCUCUCCUCACUCCCAGACAGUCCUGGCAAAUGUCUUGCUUGAGAAACUGCUGUUUGCUAUGAAGCUCUUUUUUUGUUUUGUUACCAUUUUAAUUUAAAACAUUCACAGUAAGAUACUUAAUUGUUACCCAGAAAGGAUUGAUAUUGAGAUAAUAAAAAUGAAUCCACCAAUCUGGAGAAAACAGACAGCUCAAGAGGUACAGUGGCAGGAACAAGUAUGUGAACCCUUUGGAAAUACCUGGAUUUCUGCAUAAACUGGUCAUACAAUUUGAUCUGAUCUUCAUCUAGGUCACAACAGUAGACAACUGUCUGGUUAAACUAAUAGCACACAAAAAAAGUAUAGGAUUCCAUGUUUAUAUUGAACACACCGUGUAAAAGUUCACAGUGCAGGGUGGAAAAAGUAUGUGAACCCUUUAAUAACUUGUUUUUUACUUCUGUGUUUUGGGUCUUUUUCCUGUUGCAUUACCCAACUUCUGUUGAGCUUCAAUUUGCGGACAGAUAGCCUUACAUUCUCCUGCAAAAUGUCUUGAUAAACGUCGAUAAUGGCAAGCUGUCCAGGCCCUGAGGAAGCAAAGCAGCCCCAAACCAUGAUGCUUCCUCCACCAUACUUUUGAUGUUGGUGUGCUGUGAAUUUUUUUUUCUCUCUACACAUAGUGUUGUGUGUUCCUUCCAAACAACUCAACUGUAGUUUCAUCUGUCCACAGAAUAUCCAGGUGCACUUUUGCAAACUUCAGACGUGCAGCAAUGUUUUUUUGGAUAGCAGUGGCUUCUCCCGUGGUGUCCUCCCAUGAACACCAUUCUUGUUUAGUGUGUUACGUAUUGUAGACUCAUCAACAGAGAUGUUAGCAUGUUCCAGAGAGUUCUGUAAGUCUUAGCUGACACUUUAGCUGAUUCUUCUAAACCUCAUUGAGCAUUCUGCACUGUGCUCUUGCAGUCAUCUUUGCAGGACGGCCACUCUUCGGGAGAGUAGCAACAGUGCUGAACUUUCUCCAUUUAUAGAAAAUAUGUCUUAACAUGGACUGAUGAACAUCAAGGCUUUUAGAGAUACUUUUGUAUCCCUUUCCAGAUUUAUGCAAGUCAACAAUUCUUAAUCUUAGGUCUUCUGAGAUCUCUUUUGUUUAAGGCAUAGUUCACUACAGGCAUUGCUCCUUGUGAAUAGCAAUCUCUAAUUUUGUGAGUGUUUUUUAUAGCUCUAACCAACAUCUCCAAUCUCAUCUCAUUGAUUGGACCCCAGGUUAGCUGACUCCUGAUUCCAAUUAGCUUUUGGAGAAGUCAUUAGCCUCGGUGUUCACAUACUUUCCCCAACCAACACUGUGAAUAUUUCAAUGAUGUAUUCAAUAUAGACAAGAAAAAUACAAUCAUGUGCGUUAUUAGUUUAAGCACACGAUGUGUGUCUAUUGUUGUGACUUAUAGAUGAAGAUCAAAUUUGAUGACCAAUUCUGUAUCCUUAGAUAAGCAGAAAAUGAAACAUAUUUUUUUACAUAGAAUUCUGAAUAAUGAUUAUGGCUCUAGAUUGCAGGAAAAGGCUGAUUCAGGUGUUUGGAAAAUGCAACAUUCUCCAACAUCUAGACUGGGGGCUUAGCCCCACUCCAGAUUUACCCCAACCACCUGCCCCAGCCUCCAGCCCCCACCCCCAGCCUUCCUCAUGUGUUUUGUGCCCCCUCAGAUUUUUGGAGUGCAUUACGCCCCUGAAAGGUGGUGCACUAUACAAGGAAUAUAAUGUGACAUUUGGGAUGCAACCACUGAGGCAACAUGGGAGAGGAUGUAAAGUAUGCAUCACUUCCGGGUCAUGAUUAUUUACAUUUACAUUACAUUCACCACCAGAUGAUGACGAGGAUCCAAACAAAGAACAGGAAACAUAUUUGUUUAUAUCACCGGUUUCAAGAGUUGCGAUAGAAUGCAAUUCAUUCCCACCUGGUCUAAACAUAUGUUCAGCAUGGAAAUACAUAUUUUUCCUGUGUAAUUACAUGUUUUUGAACUUGUCUGGUAUAUAUGUAAACAUUCCUUUAGACAAAUUCAGUACGUGUAUGGUGUGUGUAUGAGUGUAUGGUUGUAUGAGUGUAUGGUUUUCAUGUGUCAUCUCAAUACUAUAACAAUGUACUUCUUUCUCUGUCAUUUGGUAUUUUGAAAGGCUCAAAUAAAAUGUAUUAUUAUUAUUUUACCAUUUGAAUUAUAUCUCUAGCCGAUCUGUUGACAGUAAAGUCUGUAUAAUGUGAGCCAAGGAAAUGAAUGCUAUUUAUUGUCUGGUUUCUAGUCUGUCAUGCAGUUUCUCAGUUUGUGAAAAGGCUACCAUGGGGAAUAGGAGAGAAUUGGAUCCCUGGGCCACUGGCGGUUAGCGUUGAUUAGAAACAGAUGCAGAGAGGAGAGGGGGUUGUUUGA